rnacentral:ncRNA from 1 species
GCUUCAGGGCGGGGUGAAAGUCCCCACCGGCGGUACAGCCCGCACACAGGUUUUCCUGUUGAUCCGUUGUAAUUCCGGAGCCGACGGUAUAGUCCGGAUGAGAGAAGU